UUAUCAGACUUGUUGCAAGGUUAUUCUAACAAGUCUGAUACAGUCAUGAUAUAACAAGAAUGUUACAAGGUUGUAACAAUAUUGUUGUACCAUGACUGUAUCGGACGUGUUGGAACAACCUUGCAACAAGUCUGAUAA